UAGCCGUAAACGAUACUCGCUAGGUGUCGGCCACGGUGCGACCGUUGUCGGUGCCGUAGGGAAGCCGUGAAGCGAGCCACCUGGGAAGUACGGCCGCAAGGCUGAAACUUAAAGGAAUUGGCGGGGGGAGCACAACAACGGGUGGAGCUUGCGGUUUAAUUGGAUUCAACGCCGGAAAUCUUACCGGGACCGACAGCAACAUGAAGGCCAAGCUGAAGACUUUGCCGGAUUAGCUGAGAGGUGGUGCAUGGCGUAGUCGUGU
rnacentral:rRNA from 1 species